ACCACAAGUUCUUAGCAACUUGAUUUGCGAUGAGUAGAUGAGCUUUCUUUUUAACAAUGUAAAAUUUAGUAUUUUCCAUUUACUGAUCAUUUUAUGAUACUCAUGGUUUUGCAGUGGCUAAUUCUAUGGUGAGUAGAGUAAUUCAUACUAGAGACUGUGGUGCCUGAUGCUAAUGGAAAUGGUCAAGUUGAUAACUAUAGCUAUGCAGAGCAACAAUUGCAGCAAGUUGUCGAAUCUAAGUAUAUCUUGAAGGAUCCUUCUGCAGAACCGGUUCAUUUGAAAGUGCAAUGAAUGUUAUACAAGAACAUCUGCCUUCAUCUGUUGGGGCGAUUUUGCCCCCUUAUUUUUUAUUUUUUUUAAAAUUACCCAAUGCCAUUCCCCUAGGUAUAAGAGGCAAUCCUUAGUAUGUGCCCAUUUUUUUUCUUCCUUUCGCUCUCCUCCCCUCAGCUCUACCAGAGUUUCAUAAUUCUGUCUGGCUCUGAAAAUUGGAGCUAAGAUGCUUCUUUGGGCUUAGGGACCUGGCAGUCCAGCCCUGGCUUGGUCGGUGACGCCGUCGCCACCGCCACCGCCACCGCCAUCAAGGCAGGAUAUCGGCAUAUUGAUUGUGCUCCACUCUAUGGCAAUGAGAAGGAGGUAUCAAUUGGAACUGUGUAAGAAAGCUUUGGAGAACAUAACUGUGUAUCUAGAAACUGGUUGUGGAAAGACUCACAUACCGUGUUGCUUAUGUAUGAACCAGUUGAUGCUCAAACCUCAGAAGAACGUAUGUGUGUUCUGAGUCCUAGAGAUCGUUGUGGUAUAUAUGGAUCAAAUUGCUCCCAAUGGAUUAUUGCAAUGGAGCUGUGUUCUUUCAGAUUUUGAACCUCGAUAUGUUUUUAAAGACGAUGGAGAGAGAGGUUAGAAGAAGAUGAAGCGGAAGAGGAGAUUGAGUACCAUAUUAGGAGAGUUGCUAGGACUGAAGACCACUAAAUGCUGAAGAAUGGAGUGGAUUUAUGUUAUUAUGCACAUAUAUGGUCGAGUAAUGUUUAAAUGUAGUGUUAUGAACGUUGUCCAAUAGCACUGGUAGUAGUAUAUAUAUCAAGUUCACAGAUUUAGUUUCCUUUUGACACAUUGAACUGUAAGAGUAUACUAUCUAUACCUUGUUUAUUUAACCUA